AGUGAACGCUGGCGGUAGGCCUAACACAUGCAAGUCGAACGGCAGCACAGUAAGAGCUUGCUCUUACGGGUGGCGAGUGGCGGACGGGUGAGGAAUACAUCGGAAUCUACUUUUUCGUGGGGGAUAACGUAGGGAAACUUACGCUAAUACCGCAUACGACCUACGGGUGAAAGCAGGGGAUCUUCGGACCUUGCGCGAUUGAAUGAGCCGAUGUCGGAUUAGCUAGUUGGCGGGGUAAAGGCCCACCAAGGCGACGAUCCUAGCUGGUCUGAGAGGAUGAUCAGCCACACUGGAACUGAGACACGGUCCAGACUCCUACGGGAGGCAGCAGUGGGGAAUAUUGGACAAUGGGCGCAAGCCUGAUCCAGCCAUACCGCGUGGGUGAAGAAGGCCUUCGAGUUGUAAAGCCCUUUUGUUGGGAAAGAAAAGCAGCAGGUUAAUACCCCGCUGUUCUGACGGUACCCAAAGAAUAAGCACCGGCUAACUUCGUG
rnacentral:rRNA from 1 species